rnacentral:rRNA from 1 species
CACGGGGGCCCUNCGGGGCGCACCCAGGCGCGAAAACUUACAAUGCGGGCAACCGUGAUAAGGGGACACCGAGUGCCAGCAACAUUUGCNGGCGUCCACAUGCGUAAAAUGCAUGUGUNAGCAAGGGCCGGGCAAGACCGGUGCCAGCCGCCGCGGUAAACCGGCGGCCCGAGUGGUGAUCGUUAUUAUUGGGUUCUAAAGGGUCCGUAGCCGGAUCUUGGUCAGUCCUCCGGGAAAUCUGUCAGCUCAACUGAUAGGCUUUCGGGGGAUACUGCCAGUACUUGGAACCGGGAGAGGUAAGAGGUACUACAGGGGUAGGAGUGAAAUCUUGUAAUCCCUGUGGGACCACCUGUGGCGAAGGCGUCUUACCAGAACGGGUUCGACGGUGAGGGACGAAAGCUGGGGGCACGAACCGGAUUAGAUACCCGGGUAGUCCCAGCCGUAAACGAUGCUCGCUAGGUGUCAUGCAUGGUGCGACCGUGUAUGGUGCCGUAGGGAAGCCGUGAAGCGAGCCACCCUGGGAAGUACGGCCGAACAGCUGA